UCUGACUNGAGUGCAGAAGGGGAGAGUGGAAUUCCAUGUGUAGCGGUGAAAUGCGUAGAUAUAUGGAGGAACACCAGUGGCGAAAGCGGCUCUCUGGUCUGUCACUGACGCUGAGGCUCGAAAGCGUGGGUAGCGAACAGGAUUAGAUACCCUGGUAGUCCACGCCGUAAACGAUGAGUGCUAGGUGUUAGGCCCUUUCCGGGGCUUAGUGCCGGAGCUAACGCAAUAAGCACUCCGCCUGGGGAGUACGACCGCAAGGUUGAAACUCAAAGGAAUUGACGGGGGCCCGCACAAGCGGUGGAGCAUGUGGUUUAAUUCGAAGCAACGCGAAGAACCUUACCAGGUCUUGACAUCCCGAUGCUAUUCUUAGAGAUAGGAAGUUACUUCGGUACAUCGGAGACAGGUGGUGCAUGGUUGUCGUCAGCUCGUGUCGUGAGAUGUUGGGUUAAGUCCCGCAACGAGCGCAACCCUUAUUGUUAGUUGCCAUCAUUAAGUUGGGCACUCUGGCGAGACUGCCGGUAAUAAACCGGAGGAAGGUGGGGAUGACGUCAAAUCAUCAUGCCCCUUAUGACCUGGGCUACACACGUGCUACAAUGGUCGGUACAACGAGUUGCGAGCCGGUGACGGCAAGCUAAUCUCUGAAAGCCGAUCUCAGUUCGGAUUGGAGGCUGCAACUCGCCUCCAUGAAGUCGGAAUCGCUAGUAAUCGCGGAUCAGCACGCCGCGGUGAAUACGUUCCCGGGCCUUGUACACACCGCCCGUCACACCAGAGAGUUUGUAACACCCGAAGUCGGUGAGGUANCCUUUUAGGG
rnacentral:rRNA from 1 species